rnacentral:lncRNA from 1 species
UUCUUUCUCUUCUGAGUAACUGAAAUAAAAUCUGGCCUCUGUGAAACCCUGGAAAUACCACGACCCUCAACUAGAAACACCAAUACCAGCUCCUCCGCGAGUUUCCAGCUCCACAACCUAAGACAUCAGAGGCAGCAUUGGUUCCUCACGUAGAGUCCAGCUCCGGGACCCUCAUAUUUGAACCGCAGGGCCAUCUCAUCCCUGGAUCUCCAGCUGCACCACACUCAAAUUAGAACAACAUCAGUUCCUCCCCAGGUCUCCACCUGCACAGCCCUCGAAAGGGAAUGUCAGCUCCUCCCCGGGUCUCCAGCUGUAGGGCCCUAAAACUAGAACAUCAGCUCCCGCCUGGGUCGCCAGCAGCACCACCCUCAAACUGGAACAUCAGAUCCCCACGGGUCUCCAGCUGCAGGGCCCUCAAACUGGAACAUCAGCUCCCCACCAGAUCUCCAGCUGCACGGACCUCAAACUGGAACAUCAGCUCCCCGCCGGGUCUCCAGCUGCACUGCCUGCAAACUGGAACAUGAGCUCCCUGCCCGGUCUCCAGCUGCAUGGCCCUCAAACUGGAACAUCAGCUCCCCACCAGAUUGCCAGCUGCACGGCCCUCAAACUGGAAUAUCAGCUCCACCCCGGGGCUCCAGGUGCACAGCCCUCAACCUGCAACAUCAGCUCCCCACUGGGUCUCCAGAUGAAUGGCCCUCAACCUGCAACAUCAGCUCCCCACCGGGUCUCCAGAUGCAUGGCCCUCAAACUGGAACAUCAGCUCCCCACCGGGUCUCCAGCUGCAUGGCCUUAAACUGGAACAUCAGUUCCCCCCGGGCAUACAGCUGCAUGGCCUUAAACUGGAACAUCAGCUCCCCGCUAGGUCUCCAGGAGCACGGUCCUCAAACUGGAACAUCAGCUCCCUGCCAGGUCACCAGCUGCAUGGCCCUCAAACUGGAACAUCACCUCCCCGCCAGGUCUCCAGCUGCAUGGCCCUCAAAUUGCAACAUCAGCUCCCAUCAGAGCCUCCAGCUGCAUGGCCAUCAAACUGGAACAUCAGCUCCCCCGCGGGUCUCCAGCUGCACAGACCUCAAACUUGAACAUCAGCUCCCCGCCGGGUCAUCAACUGCAUGGCCCUCAAACUGGAACAUCAGCUCCACCCCUGGGUCUCCAGUAGCACGGCCCUACAACUGGAACAUCAGCUUCCCCCUGGGUCUCCGGCUGCACAGCCCUACAACCGGAACAUCAGC